UACGUAGGGGGCAAGCGUUGUCCGGAAUUAUUGGGCGUAAAGAGCGUGUAGGCGGCCAUGUAGGUCCGGUGUGAAAACUCGAGGCUUAACCUCGAGAUGUCAUCGGAAACCAUUUGGCUAGAGUCCGGAAGAGGAGAGUGGAAUUCCUGGUGUAGCGGUGAAAUGCGCAGAUAUCAGGAAGAACACCAAUGGCGAAAGCAGCUCUCUGGGACGGUACUGACGCUGAGACGCGAAAGCGUGGGGAGCAAACAGG
rnacentral:rRNA from 1 species